UACGGAGGGAGCUAGCGUUGUUCGGAAUUACUGGGCGUAAAGCGCGCGUAGGCGGCCUUGCAAGUUAGAGGUGAAAGCCCGGAGCUCAACUCCGGAACUGCCUUUAAAACUGCAUAGCUUGAAUCCGGGAGAGGUGAGUGGAAUUCCGAGUGUAGAGGUGAAAUUCGUAGAUAUUGGGAGGAACACCAGUGGCGAAGGCGGCUCACUGGACCGGUACUGACGCUGAGGCGCGAAAGCGGUGGGGAGCAAACGGG
rnacentral:rRNA from 1 species